rnacentral:misc_RNA from 1 species
GAUGAAGAACGUAGCGAAAUGCGAUAAGUAGUGUGAAUUGCAGAAUUCAGUGAAUCAUCGAAUCUUUGAACGCACAUUGCGCCCCUUGGUAUUCCAUGGGGCAUGCCUGUUCGAGCGUCAUUUGUACCUUCAAGCUCUGCUUGGUGUUGGGUGUUUGUCUCGCCUCUGCGUGUAGACUCGCCUUAAAACAAUUGGCAGCCGGCGUAUUGAUUUCGGAGCGCAGUACAUCUCGCGCUUUGCACUCAUAACGACGACGUCCAAAAGUACAUUUUUACACUCUUGACCUCGGAUCAGGUAGGGAUACCCGCUGAACUUAAGCAUAUCCAAUAAGCGGAGGA